UACGGAGGGAGCUAGCGUUGUUCGGAAUUACUGGGCGUAAAGCGUGCGUAGGUGGUGAGUUAAGUCUGUCGUGAAAGCCCCGGGCUCAACCUGGGAAUGGCGAUGGAUACUGGCUCGCUAGAGUCCGGAAGAGGAGAGUGGAAUUCCUGGUGUAGCGGUGAAAUGCGCAGAUAUCAGGAAGAACACCAAUGGCGAAGGCAGCAUCUCUGGGACGGUACUGACGCUGAGACGCGAAAGCGUGGGGAGCAAACAGG
rnacentral:rRNA from 1 species